CUCUUUUUAAGUACUUAUGAGAAGCUAUAUACAUAUUUACAUAAGAUAUAUAUCAAGCUCAUAAGUACAUUACAUUGAUAUUGAAACAAACGUCAGACUAUGUGCAUAUGUCUAUUAUAUAUAUAUAUAUAUAUAUAUAGCAAUUUCACCUUUACAUCACGUUUUGUUCAUAAACGACUGUUGUCUGAUUUUGUACAAUAUCAUGGAUUUAACGCAAAGCGCGAAAAGGUUGUAAACAAACUACGAGUACUUAAACAUAACGUUAACAUCCCUGUUCGCUAAACUUAUAAGCAGAAUAACACUCGAGAAGAUCUUGAAACUACAAAAAAUAAGCAUUAUUUAAAGCAAAUUUGUUGGCGGAUUGCAUGGUUAAAAUACGUACUGAAAAAAGUUAUGCUUGACUUUAUACAAUAUAUUGCUUGUCCACCCUCUAUAAACAUUUCAUAUGGUGUAAGCAUACCGACUAUUCAGCAGUCAAAGGAAAUACAUAAGUUUGGUUUUAGUAUAUAUAAGUGUAAAUAUGAUCAAAGAGGACCCAUCGAUAAAAUAAUGGGUAACGUGAUCUGAGAGGAAACUUGUAAAACAGAGGGAAAGGAGCAGGAGAUAAGACAACUCAACUUAUCUUUAAGAGAACUCCAAAAAUUACCGAUUAUAGUAUGUUGAUAAUUCUAAACGUGGAAUUUUUAUAAAACGAAAACACUCCAUAAUUUAUUCAUACAAUUGUUAUAUUCAAGAUUAAUUUAGAUUUUUAGUUUUACCUUUCGUCCUAAAAAAAAUAUAUAUUUGCAUACUAAGACAUGACCAAGACGUACGACAAACACCAACAGAAUGACAAGAC
rnacentral:lncRNA from 1 species